CCUGUGGAGUGUUACACCAAACGCAAGUAGCUCAGGCAAAAGCGGACACGUUGAAGCAGGAA
rnacentral:sRNA from 12 species